GCCGCGGGCCGUGACUGGCGCGCUGGGAUGGGAACGACCAUCGGGGAGCGGCCCGGGAAGAACACGUGCCGUGCGCCUGGGCCGACCGA
rnacentral:ncRNA from 1 species